UACAGAGGUCCCAAGCGUUGUUCGGAUUCAUUGGGCGUAAAGGGUGCGUAGGCGGCGCGGUAAGUCGGGUGUGAAAUCUCGGGGCUUAACUCCGAAACUGCAUUCGAUACUGCCGUGCUUGAGGACUGGAGAGGAGACUGGAAUUUACGGUGUAGCGGUGAAAUGCGUAGAUAUCGUAAGGAAGACCAGUGGCGAAGGCGGGUCUCUGGACAGUUCCUGACGCUGAGGCACGAAGGCCAGGGGAGCAAACCGG
rnacentral:rRNA from 1 species